rnacentral:tmRNA from 1 species
GGGGCUGACCGGUUUUGACAGUAGGUGUAAGGAUCGGGCUCGCAUGUCAGGUGGAGUAUGUACGUCUGUGAAUAAUUCAUACAAACUAUAAUUGGCGAAUCUAAUUACGCCAUGGCUGCCUAAUCUAUCCCUUAGGGGACCUAGAUAAUGCUUAAAGGGUUGAGUUUCGAUAGAUACUCCCCGGCCACAUCUCACCAACCGUUGCACUGUCCGGUUGGAAUUGAGGUGUCGACUGACAGCGCUGCUCCUUGUGAGGCUACUAAGCAAGGCUAAGAUUAGUGGAUAAGCUGUUGUCCGGUGUGUCACCCAGCAAACAACAGUCGAAAAGCCAACAGGUGACUAAACAUGUAGACGGUACGGUGUUUCCCUAUCUGGACGCGAGUUCGAAUCUCGCCAGCUCCACUU